ensembl:lncRNA
AUUUGAUAGCUUGCUGCGAGACCUCACACCGUGCACAUCUACUGUGGGUGUGGUGCCUGUUAUCGGACCCGGAGUUAGCAACAUCCCCCAAAAACCUGAAGAGUAGAGUCCUGGCCCCUAGCCCUGUCAGCGUAGCAGAAAUGAUGAGGAUGAUGAUGGCAGCAGCAGCCGUUCUUCUCUGCAGUUCCCUCAAACUGUAAGAGAAAUUUCGUCUUGUUGGCGUUUGACCCUGAUGGAGAUGUGGUUAAGUGCAGAAAUGGAGAUGCAUUACUGUCAGAGUGUAAUCCAUACACUCCACCAUCUGUCCUCAGCCUCUCACCAUCUUGUACUCUGUCAUUCAGACCCACUGAUAGCAGUAAUGAAGGUCCAUAUGCAGUACAGCUGGUGAUGGAGGACUUUCCCCGGCAGAACAUAACCCUGACUCAAACCAAUGGGACACAGACUAAUCUAACUACCAACAAUGCAAUCAGCAAAAUACCGGUCCAGUUCGUUAUAAGGGUGGAUCCUGCAGUGCCAUCCUGCACAGACGGACUCUAUCUGCCCAAGAUCCUGCCUCCAACUCCAGCCAACGGAGCUCAGCUAUAUACCCCUGUUGGACAAACUCUAGAAAUCAGCAUCAAAGCAGAGGCAACAAAUUCCAUGUAUGUGAAAGAGAAAACAAAAUUAAAAUACCAAAGUUUAAAGAUAGGUUUUGCUACUGGCAGCGGUUGGACAAGAAAUACCACUCUACGUUGGAAGACUUUCUAUACUCUCCAAAAUGUGAUACAGGAAAAGACAAGACCAAGAACAAACUUGAAUACCACCUAACAUUCAGAGUAGUGCUGUCAGCGUUAAUCUCGUUAAAAUGGCGUUAACGCCAUAACCGCAUUAACGUGGCAAAUCUCUGUUAGCGAGUUAACACGGAUCGCCCCAUGUGAGGUGCUGCGAGGAGCUAACGCGUUAACGAGUUAACCGUGCUAACGCAUUGGCGCCAUGCAGCCCUCGAGAUUUGCCACAUUAAUGCAGUUAUGACAUUAACGUCAUUUUAACGAGAAUAACGCUGACAGCACUAAUUCAGAUACAUAAAAAACUUGAAAAAUGUUGAUUUGACUACUUUUAAGUUGUGUGGAAUUACAGGGAUUAUUUUACAUAACCACCAUCUUAUCAUUGCAUUAAUUAUCAUUUCAUCAAAGUGUUUAUUGAAGCUGCUGGCAUUAUGUUAUAAUUUAUAUUAUAGGGGUUAUCCUAAUCAAAUAUUAACAUGUUUAUUACAGGUGCAGUUAUAACUACUUUAAAAUGAUUGAGUUAAAUAUAUAUGUAUCAUAACUCAUAUGCUGAGUAUAUUGGUAGAGUAAAAUAGUAGCUGAGUAAAGGCCUGAAUGUAUUCAGCUUCUUGUGGUAUUUGAGUUUGCUUAGUUACAGGUGACGGAAGGAUGUCCAGUCCAUGGUGACCUCAAAAGCCUUAGGUCAUCACCAUAUUCGGAAGAGUAUGCCACAAGGAGGAACCUCUAUGUUGCAUUUAAUUCUUAAAAUACAUGAAUGUUCUG